rnacentral:lncRNA from 1 species
GUAUUUUGUGGCAGGAAUGUUAAUGUUAUCUUGCAUUUGUUUCUGAGCAGGAGCACAUUAACAGAGCAGGUUUGAAAAGAAUUUCACUUUUGUAACAUCAGGUGCCGAAGGUAUUAGAACAAGGUCACCUCUGUAAAGUAAUGAGGGAAAAUUAGGUUAUAAACAUGCAGUGCCUAAAAAUAUAUUCAGUCUGCUCUGCAGAGUGAAUGCAAUAUAAGAUCGCCCCAAAUUGCUAAUUUUCUUUUACUCCGAAUGACACUCAGACCCCAAGCUGAAUUUGAAAAGUUAAAUAAUAAAGCUAGACAGGGUAGAGGAGGGUUACUGAGGCUCAUAAUAGACAACUAAUUCAAAUCAAUAGGGUCCAAAUAUCUGUACACAGAUACAAACUGCUUCAUAAUUUAUAAACCAGAAAGCUUGGAAUACUUUAUGCAACAAGCCUCAGAGGUUCGUAUUAUCUGCUUGGGAGAAAUACUAUGGCGGAGAAAGGCAAAUGAAAGAGAAAGGUGAAAAAUCUGACACCUGGAGAGGUAAAAUAAUUUGCCAAAAUUCACAAGGACUCCAACUUUCUCCAGGGAAUCAUCCUUCUGCUACUUCAAGCCCUGGCCAACUGUUUUUUUUUCUUUUUUUUCCCCCCAAUUUUGGAAAUUAGGCAGUGCAUUCUCUUGGCCACAGUAAUUGUUUCAGGGAUGAGCACCUGAAAUAGUCAGAGCUAAUGAGUUGUAAUCAGCUAUCAACUGGGACUAUACAACUUGAAGGUCAAAGAAGAUAAAGCUGAAGCUGAAGCUGUUGCAUUCAUCUUGGCACCACUAAAAGAAUGCCUGUUAAAGAAUGGAGGCAACAUGAAGAACACAGAGUUAAGUGCUUGAGAUAAAUCAUGUCCUGGUG